UACCUCGCCCUUCCCCGAAACACCGCCCCACGCGCGGCGCUGGCGCUGACGCUGACGCAGGGCCUCCUUCCUCGGCUCGCUCCCCCGUUCAUCCUCUCCCCAGCCGCCGCCCGAGUCAAAAAGGGAGAAGCUUCUCCCACCAGUGUCCCCAACCAACGACUAGUCGCUGGUCAAGCGGCAGCACCAACCCUAGCCUCCCCUUCCCCCUCCUCCCUCUUCGCGAGCUGCCAGGAAGAAGAAGAAGAAGCCAUGGAUUCCUCCGGCGGCGGCGGCGCGCAGAUCAAGGGGAUGGCGACGCACGGGGGGCGCUACGUGCUGUACAACGUGUACGGCAAUCUCUUCGAGGUCUCCUCCAAGUACGCCCCGCCCAUCCGCCCCAUCGGCCGCGGCGCCUACGGCAUUGUCUGCGCGGCUGUGAACUCGGAGACAGGGGAGGAGGUUGCGAUCAAGAAGAUUGGCAACGCGUUCGAUAACCACAUCGAUGCCAAGCGGACGCUGAGAGAAAUAAAGCUGCUUCGCCACAUGGACCACGAGAACAUCCUUGCAAUGAAGGAUGUAAUACGCCCCCCAAGUAGGGAGAACUUUAAUGAUGUGUACAUUGUUACUGAGUUAAUGGAUACAGAUCUCCAUCAGAUCAUACGCUCAAAUCAGUCAUUGACUGAUGAUCAUUGUCAGUACUUCCUGUAUCAGUUGCUACGAGGGUUAAAAUAUGUGCACUCAGCAAACAUAUUGCACCGCGAUCUAAAGCCAAGCAAUUUGUUCCUAAACGCAAAUUGUGACCUCAAGAUCGCAGACUUUGGGCUUGCAAGGACCACUUCGGAGACAGAUCUCAUGACAGAGUAUGUGGUCACUCGUUGGUACCGGGCACCAGAGUUGCUGUUGAACUGUUCACAGUAUACUGCUGCCAUUGAUGUCUGGUCAGUUGCAUGCAUACUUGGUGAAAUUGUUACUCGCCAACCCCUGUUUCCUGGAAGGGAUUACAUCCAACAAUUAAAAUUGAUCACUGAGCUCAUAGGGUCACCAGAUGAUGCAAGCCUGGGAUUUCUUCGAAGUGAUAACGCACGAAGAUACAUGAGACAGCUACCACAGUACCCAAGGCAGGACUUCCGCUUGCGCUUCCGCAACUUGUCUCCUGGUGCAGUCGAUUUGUUAGAGAGAAUGCUAGUGUUUGAUCCAAGCAGACGGAUCACUGUUGAUGAGGCUCUGCAUCACCCAUACUUGGCUUCUCUUCAUGAAAUCAAUGAAGAACCCACCUGCCCUGCACCUUUCAGCUUUGAUUUUGAGCAACCAUCCUUUACAGAAGCACAUAUAAAAGAACUCAUCUGGAGGGAAUCUUUAGCAUUUAAUCCGGAUCCGCCCUACUAAGCUUCAAGCUUGACUAAUUUAAAUUCAGGAAAUUGGUUGUUUUGGAAACCAAAUGUCUGGAUCACUAAGACCAUGUGCUUAUAACGUAUUAUAAUGAAAACUUAACUUAACAAUUUACCAGCUGAAGGCAUCUGAAGAUCUCUCUCCAGCGGAUGCAAAACUUGUGUCUUGUGCAUCAGUUACUUUCACGCUGUUUGUUGGGCAAACGGGCAUGGAUUGUUGCCCUAUCAUUUUCUCCUUAAGGCCUGUCGGAAGAAAAAAAAAACUUUUGUGUUCCUUUUCAGAUGACCUACACCCAGGCUUGUAUUAUACCGUAUUAUACCACUUGAUUUCACAAACUAUUCAUAUGUACCUAAGCUUGUAAUUUUGUAGACAAUUGAACAGCCCGUGUAUAUCCGAGUUGACAUCUCUCGACUGUAUUAUCUCAACAUGUUAUGUUGCGUGAUCUGACUAUUUAGAUUGAAGUUGCUGAUCCA